CGCGCCUGUAAUCCAAGCUACCGGGAGGCUGAGGCUGGCGGAUCGUUUGAGCUCAGGAGCUCUGAGCUGCAGCGGACUAUGCCGAUCGGGUGUCCGCACUAAGUUCGGUAUCGAUAUGGUGCUCCUGGGGGAGCCCGGGACCACCAGGUCGUCUAAGGAGGGGUGCACCGGCCCAGGUCGGAAACGGAGCAGGUCAAAGCCCCCGUGCCGCUCAGUAGUGGGAUCGCGCCUGUGAAUAGACGCUGUAGUGCAGCCUGAG